rnacentral:rRNA from 1 species
UUGGAGGGCAAGUCUGGUGCCAGCAGCCGCGGUAAUUCCAGCUCCAAUAGCGUAUAUUAAAGUUGUUGCAGUUAAAAAGCUCGUAGUUGAAUUUCGAGAUCAAUUUUCUUGGUCAUACCUUUGUAUGUACUGGUCUUAUUGAUUUCUCCCUUCUGAUGAACCAUGAUGUCAUUAAUUUGGUGUUAUGGGGAAUCAGGUCUAUUACUUUGAAAAAAUUAGAGUGUUUAAAGCAGGCUCACGCUUGAAUACAUUAGCAUGGAAUAAUGAAAUAGGACGUUUGAUUCUAUUUUGUUGGUUUCUAGGAUUGACGUAAUGAUUAAUAGGGAUAGUUGGGGGCAUUAGUAUUCAAUUGUCAGAGGUGAAAUUCUUGGAUUUAUUGAAGACUAACUACUGCGAAAGCAUUUGCCAAAGAUGUUUUCAUUAAUCAAGAACGAAAGUUAGGGGAUCGAAGACGAUCAGAUACCGUCGUAGUCUUAACCAUAAACUAUGCCGACUAGGAAUCGGAUGAUGUUAAUUUUUUAAUGACUCAUUCCGCGCCUUACGGGAAACCAAAGUGUUUGGGUUC